rnacentral:rRNA from 2 species
AUUGACGGGGGCCCGCACAAGCGGUGGAGCAUGUGGUUUAAUUCGAAGCUACGCGAAGAACCUUACCAGGUCUUGACAUACUAUGCAAAUCUAAGAGAUUAGACGUUCCCUUCGGGGACAUGGAUACAGGUGGUGCAUGGUUGUCGUCAGCUCGUGUCGUGAGAUGUUGGGUUAAGUCCCGCAACGAGCGCAACCCUUAUUAUCAGUUGCCAGCAUUAAGUUGGGCACUCUGGUGAGACUGCCGGUGACAAACCGGAGGAAGGUGGGGAUGACGUCAAAUCAUCAUGCCCCUUAUGACCUGGGCUACACACGUGCUACAA